rnacentral:rRNA from 1 species
GACGAACGCUGGCGGCGUGCUUAACACAUGCAAGUCGAACGGAAAGGCCCUGCUUUUGUGGGGUGCUCGAGUGGCGAACGGGUGAGUAACACGUGAGUAACCUGCCCUUGACUUUGGGAUAACUUCAGGAAACUGGGGCUAAUACCGGAUAGGAGCUCCUGCUGCAUGGUGGGGGUUGGAAAGUUUCGGCGGUUGGGGAUGGACUCGCGGCUUAUCAGCUUGUUGGUGGGGUAGUGGCUUACCAAGGCUUUGACGGGUAGCCGGCCUGAGAGGGUGACCGGCCACAUUGGGACUGAGAUAGGGCCCAGACUCCUACGGGAGGCAGGAGUGGGGAAUAGUGCACAAUGGGCGGAAGCCUGAUGCAGCAACGCCGCGUGCGGGAUGACGGCCUUCGGGUUGUAAACCGCUUUCGCCUGUGACGAAGCGUGAGUGACGGUAAUGGGUAAAGAAGCACCGGCUAACUACGUG